ACACUCCUACGGGAGGCAGCAGUGGGGAAUAUUGGACAAUGGGCGCAAGCCUGAUCCAGCCAUGCCGCGUGAGUGAUGAAGGCCCUAGGGUUGUAAAGCUCUUUCACCGGAGAAGAUAAUGACGGUAUCCGGAGAAGAAGCCCCGGCUAACUUCGUGCCAGCAGCCGCGGUAAUACGAAGGGGGCUAGCGUUGUUCGGAAUUACUGGGCGUAAAGCGCACGUAGGCGGAUCGAUCAGUCAGGGGUGAAAUCCCAGGGCUCAACCCUGGAACUGCCUUUGAUACUGUCGAUCUGGAGUAUGGAAGAGGUGAGUGGAAUUCCGAGUGUAGAGGUGAAAUUCGUAGAUAUUCGGAGGAACACCAGUGGCGAAGGCGGCUCACUGGUCCAUUACUGACGCUGAGGUGCGAAAGCGUGGGGAGCAAACAGGAUUAGAAACCCUUGUAGUCCCAUG
rnacentral:rRNA from 1 species